AACAAAUGAUGGCAACGUGGCGUUCUGGUUAGAUAGACCGCUUCAGUUGUGAAGCAGUAGGCGGCGGUUCGAAUCCCCCUCAAACCCGAUUCAAAGCAUAUUUAAAAAA